rnacentral:snRNA from 1 species
GUACUCGCUUCAGCAGCACAUAUACUAAAAUUGGAAUGAUAUAGAGAUUAGCAUGGACCCUGUGCAAGGAUGACUUGCAAAUUCAAAAUCUGCAGGCUAGGCAA